GCAUAUCAAUAAGCGGAGGAAAAGAAACCAACAGGGAUUGCCCCAGUAACGGCGAGUGAAGCGGCAACAGCUCAAAUUUGAAAUCUGGCCCCCCGGCCCGAGUUGUAAUUUGCAGAGGAUGCUUUUGGUGAGGCACCUACCGAGUCCCCUGGAAUGGGGCGCCAUAGAGGGUGAGAGCCCCGUAUGGUAGGACGCCGAACCUCUGUAAAGCUCCUUCGACGAGUCGAGUAGUUUGGGAAUGCUGCUCUAAAUGGGAGGUAAAUUUCUUCUAAAGCUAAAUACCGGCCAGAGACCGAUAGCGCACAAGUAGAGUGAUCGAAAGAUGAAAAGCACUUUGAAAAGAGGGUUAAAAAGUACGUGAAAUUGUUGAAAGGGAAGCGCUUGUGACCAGACUUGCGCCGGGCGGAUCAUCCAGCGUUCUCGCUGGUGCACUCCGCCCGGUUCAGGCCAGCAUCGGUUUUCGCCGGGGGACAAAGGCUUCGGGAACGUGGCUCCUUUCGGGGAGUGUUAUAGCCCGUUGCGUAAUACCCCGGCGGGGACCGACGACCGCGCUUCGGCAAGGAUGCUGGCGUAAUGGUCAUCAGCGACCCGUCUUGAAACACGGACCGAGGAGUCAAGCAUUAGUGCGAGUGUUUGGGUGUAAAACCCCCACGCGUAAUGAAAGUGAACGUAGGUGAGAGCUUCGGCGCAUCAUCGACCGAUCCUGAUGUUUUCGGAAGGAUUUGAGUAGGAGCAUUAACGCUUGGACCCGAAAGAUGGUGAACUAUACUUGAAUAGGGUGAAGCCAGAGGAAACUCUGGUGGAGGCUCGCAGCGGUUCUGACGUGCAAAUCGAUCGUCAAAUUUGAGUAUAGGGGCGAAAGACUAAUCGAACCAUCUAGUAGCUGGUUUCAGCCGAA
rnacentral:rRNA from 1 species